ACGCUCGACACCUACGGGAGGAGCAGUGGGGAAUAUUGCACAAUGGGGGAAACCCUGAUGCAGCGACGCCGCGUGAGUGAAGAAGUAUUUCGGUAUGUAAAGCUCUAUCAGCAGGGAAGAAAAUGACGGUACCUGACUAAGAAGCCCCGGCUAACUACGUGCCAGCNCGCGAGUAUCNGNGGCGGNUGACGAGC
rnacentral:rRNA from 1 species